GGAAUUCAUGGCGAACAGAAAUCUGGUAGCUCCUGUGCUUCAGAAGCAGUUCUAUAGUUUUUACAAAUACCCACUCAUCCAACUCUCAUGUUAAUCCCACGGCGAAAACCAAUUCUUAAUAGUCCCACUUUAAGGCCGAAGAAACUGGAAUCCUGAAAGGUGGAGCUAUCCAAAAUCUUUUCUCUGAUGAGAAAGAAGAAAGCCAGAUCAUCCUCCAGGUGUCAGGAUGAAGCUCUGGAUGGACCAUUGCCUCCUGACCCUUUCAGCAUCUCACCGUUCCGGACUUGGGAGGUAUGGCUGUUCAGGAGCCAGCCUGACUCUCCUGGGAACCUGUGCUCCGGAGAGGCUGAGGGCCACACACGCACAGACCACAGUCAGGCCGCAUGCGGGGUGACAGUCGGUGGGACAAAGGAAAACAAAAGCAUGUUGGAGGGCAGCAAGGUGUGGAUGUUUUUUUUUUUUUUCUUUAGAAAGUUCAGGCAGGAAAGGUCCCUCUGAGAAACAGCAUUAUAUCAGGGUCUUAUCUGUCGUGGGACUCUGUGUGAUGCUGCAGGCAGAGAAAGCGUGUAAUACAAAACCCCGGGAUGGGGGUGGGCUCAGUGCUUUGAGAAGUAGCACAGAAGACAGUGUGGUCACCUGCAUGCCUUGUGCUCUCCACUGUGACUACUUAUCUCUGACACCGUAGAAGAGAAGCAGCACAGACAGAUAUAAACAAACGGCAUAGCUGUGUUCCAAUAAACAUGUAUUUGAAAAGCAGACAGUGGGCUGGAUUCGGUCAGUGUCAGUCCC
rnacentral:lncRNA from 1 species